UGGUGCCAGCAGCCGCGGUAAUUCCAGCUCCAAUAGCGUAUAUAAAGUUGUUGUGGUUAAAAAGCUCGUAGUUGAACCUUGGGCCKGGCUGNCCGGUCCGCCUCACCGCGUGUACUGGUCCGGCCGGGCCUUCCCUUCUGUGGAACCCCAUGCCCUUCACUGGGUGUGGCGGGGAAACAGGACUUUUACUGUGAAAAAAUUAGAGUGCUCCAGGCAGGCCUAUGCUCGAAUACAUUAGCAUGGAAUAAUAGAAUAGGACGUGUGGUUCUAUUUUGUUGGUUUCUAGGACCGCCGUAAUGAUUAAUAGGGACAGUCGGGGGCAUCAGUAUUCAAUUGUCAGAGGUGAAAUUCUUGGAUUUAUUGAAGACUAACUACUGCGAAAGCAUUUGCCAAGGAUGUUUUCAUUAAUCAGGAACGAAAGUUAGGGNAUCGAAGACGAUCAGAUACCGUCGUAGUCUUAACCAUAAACUAUGCCGACUAGGGAUCGGACGGUGUUAUUUUUUGACCCGUUCGGCACCUUACGAGAAAUCAAAGUGCUUGGGCUCCAGGGGGAGUAUGGUCGCAAGGCUGAAACUUAAAGAAAUUGACGGAAGGGCACCACCAGGGGUGGAGCCUGCGGCUUAAUUUGACUCAACACGGGGAAACUCACCAGGUCCAGACACAAUGAGGAUUGACAGAUCGAGAGCUCUUUCUUGAUUUUGUGGGUGGUGGUGCAUGGCCGUUCUUAGUUGGUGGAGUGAUUUGUCUGCUUAAUUGCGAUAACGAACGAGACCU
rnacentral:rRNA from 1 species